rnacentral:rRNA from 1 species
CCCGAAAGAUCGAACGGGGAGAUUCAUCGUCAGCGGCGCAGGCUUCGCCGCGGCUCGUGAUGUCGGGACCUCGCGUCCACGGCACUCGGUCGCGGUGCAAUGUCCGGCGACGCCGGCGUGCACUUCUCCCCUAGUAGGACGUCGCGACCCGUUGGGUGUCGGUCUAAGGCCCGGUCGGCUGCCUGUCUCGGCGUUCGCGUCGGGGCAGACCCCCGGUUGCCCGUCCGGCUGCCCGGCGGUACCCGCACGGUAUAGAGCCGCAUUGAACUGCGUCGGGCCCGCCGCAAGCGCGGUCAGCGAUUCCCGGUGGUCGGACCUAGCGCCGUCCCCGGGCCUGGCCAGCUGUUGGCUGGCGGUGUCCUCUGGCUGGCUCGUUCGAAUUAUCAAAUACCGGUCGGCGACGCUAUUGCUUUGGGUACUUUCA